rnacentral:RNase_P_RNA from 1 species
UGGGGUAAUCGGAUAGCCGCUCCAUGCGAGAGGAAAGUCCGGGCUUCACAGGGCAGGAUGCUUCCUAACUGGAAGCCCCGCACCAAUGGUGCGGGAGGAAAGUGCCACAGAAAAUAUACCGCCUUGUGCCUAUGGUGCCGGGUAAGGGUGAAAUGGCGAGGUAAGAGCUCACCGCCCUGGUGGUGACACCAGGGGCACGGCAAACCCCAUCCGAAGCAAAACCAAGCAGUUCCAGUCGAGGUGGCCCGCCUUUUUCUGCCGUCUAUGACGGCCGGGACUGGAAUGGGUAGGUUGCGCAGAGCCCAGCAGCGAUGUUGGGACAAGAGAAAUGGCUAUCUAUUACAGAACCCGGCUUAUAGAUUACCCCACAUC